rnacentral:rRNA from 1 species
UAGUAGUUGGGGGAUUCAUUUUCCNUAGUAACGUAGNUAACGCGGUGNAGUUGACCGCCUGGGGGAGUACGGUNGCAAGAUUAAAANUCNNAGGAAUUGACGGGGACCCGCACAAGCGGGUGGAUGAUGUGGAUUAAUUNGAUGNAACGCGAAAAACCUUACCUACCCUUGACAUGCCACUAACGAAGCAGAGAUGCAUUAGGUGCUCGAAAGAGAAAGUGGACACAGGUGCUGCAUGGCUGUCGUCAGNUCGUGUCGUGAGAUGUUGGGUUAAGUCCCGCAACGAGCGCAACCCUUGUCUCUUAGUUGACUACGAAAGGGCACUUCUAGAGAGACUGCCGGUGACAAACCGGAGGAAGGUGGGGAUGACGUCAAGUCCUCAUGGCCCUUAUGGGUAGGGCUUCACACGUCAUACAAUGGNGCAUACAGAGGGUUGCCAAGCCGCGAGGUGGNGCNAAUCCCAAGAAANUGCAUCGUAAGUCCGGAUCGUNGUNUGCAACGUCUGACUACGUGNAGACUGGAAUC